GCCCCUAGCAAAACACAAGUAUUAGGGGUAAUGCCUGCCCAGUGACACUGUUAAACGGCCGCGGUAUCCCAACCGUGCAAAGGUAGCGUAAUAACUUGUCUUUUAAAUAAAGACUAGAAUGAAUGGCCAAACGAGGCUCCGCCUGUCUCUUACAGAUAAUCAGUGAAAUUGAUCUUCCCGUGCAAAAGCAGGAAUAACAUUAUAAGACGAGAAGACCCUGUGGAACUUCAAAUAUAAAGUCAACUAUCACCAACAUCUGCCUAACAGGCACUAUACCAAAUAGCAUUUUGACCUUUACUUUUUGGUUGGGGUGACCUCGGAGCAAAACAAAACCUCCGAAAAACUUAAACCUAGAACCACAACUCAAAGUGCUCUCGGCAAAGCGAUCCAAUACAUUUGAUCAACGAACCAAGCUACCCCAGGGAUAACAGCGCAAUCCCAUCCUAGAGUCCAUAUCAACGAUGGGGUUUACGACCUCGAUGUUGGAUCAGGACAUCCUGAUGGUGCAACAGCUAUCAAGGGUUCGUUUGUUCAACGAUUAACAGUCCUACGUGA
rnacentral:rRNA from 1 species